UACAGAGGUCUCAAGCGUUGUUCGGAUUCAUUGGGCGUAAAGGGUGCGUAGGUGGCGCCAUAAGUCAGGUGUGAAAUCUCCAAGCCUAACUUGGAAACUGCGUUGGAUACUAUCCGGCUCGAGGAAUGGAGGGGAGACUGGAAUACUUGGUGUAGCAGUGAAAUGCGUAGAUAUCAAGUGGAACACCAGUGGCGAAGGCGAGUCUCUGGACAUUUCCUGACGCUGAGGCACGAAAGCCAGGGGAGCAAACGGG
rnacentral:rRNA from 1 species